ACCUUGGCUGUAGACUGCUUUACUGCCCGGGCCGCCCUCAGUAACAGUCUCCAGUCACGGACA
rnacentral:pre_miRNA from 1 species